rnacentral:rRNA from 1 species
AAUCAACGCUGGCGGCAUGCCUAACACAUGCAAGUCGAACGCGGUUUCCCCGCAAGGGGAGACUGAGUGGCGAACGGGUGAGUAACGCGUGGGUGACCUACCUCCGAGUGGGGGAUAACGUCCCGAAAGGGACGCUAAUACCGCAUGACAUCCUGCCCUUGAACGGGUGGAGAUCAAAGCUGGGGAUCGCAAGACCCGGCGCUUGAAGAGGGGCCCGCGUCCGAUUAGCUAGUUGGUGUGGUAACGGCUCACCAAGGCGACGAUCGGUAUCCGGCGUGAGAGGGCGGACGGACACACUGGGACUGAGACACGGCCCAGACUCCUACGGGAGGCAUCAGUGGGGAAUUUUGGACAAUGGACGCAAGUCUGAUCCAGCCAUGCCGCGUGCGGGAAGAAGGCCUUCGGGUUGUAAACCGCUUUUGUCAGGGAAGAAACGCUCUGGGUUAAUACCCCGGGGUAAUGACGGUACCUGAAGAAUAAGCACCGGCUAACUACGUGCCAGCAGCCGCCGCAGUAA